rnacentral:rRNA from 1 species
CACGCCGUAAACGAUGGGUACUAGGUGUAGGAGGUAUCGACCCCUUCUGUGCCGUCGUUAACACAAUAAGUACCCCGCCUGGGGAGUACGGUCGCAAGACUAAAACUCAAAGGAAUUGACGGGGGCCCGCACAAGCAGCGGAGCAUGUGGUUUAAUUCGAAGCAACGCGAAGAACCUUACCAGGCCUUGACAUCCAAUGAACUUUCCAGAGAUGGAUUGGUGCCUUCGGGAACAUUGAGACAGGUGC